rnacentral:rRNA from 1 species
AUUGAACGCUGGCGGCAUGCCUUACACAUGCAAGUCGAACGGCAGCACGGGAGCAAUCCUGGUGGCGAGUGGCGAACGGGUGAGUAAAGUAUCGGAACGUGCCCAGUCGUGGGGGAUAACGUAGCGCAAGUUACGCUAAUACCGCACACGAUCUAUGGAUGAAAGCGGGGGAUCGCAAGACCUCGCGCGAUUGGAGCGGCCGCUAUCAGAUUAGGUAGUUGGUGGGGUAAAGGCUCACCAAGCCGACGAUUGGUAGCGGGUCGGAGAGGACGACCAGCGACACUGGGACUGAGACACGGCCCAGACUCCUACGGGAGGCAGCAGUGGGGGAUUUUUGACAAUGGGCGAAAGCCUGAUCCAGCCAUGCCGCGUGCAGGAUGAAGGCCUUCGGGUUGUAAACUGCUUUUGUACGGAACGAAAAGGUUUGGCCUAAUAAGCUGAGCUCAUGACGGUACCGUAAGAAUAAGCACCGGCUAACUACGUGCCAGCAGCAGCCGCCG